AACGAACGCUGGCGGCAUGCCUAACACAUGCAAGUCGAACGAGACCUUCGGGUCUAGUGGCGCACGGGUGCGUAACGCGUGGGAACCUGCCCUUAGGUUCGGAAUAACUCCCCGAAAGGGGUGCUAAUACCGGAUAAUGUCUUCGGACCAGAGAUUUAUCGCCUUUGGAUGGGCCCGCGUUGGAUUAGCUAGUUGGUAGGGUAAAAGCCUACCAAGGCGACGAUCCAUUGCUGGUCUGAGAGGAUGAUCAGCCACACUGGGACUGAGACACGGCCCAGACUCCUACGGGAGGCAGCAGUGGGGAAUAUUGGACAAUGGGCGAAAGCCUGAUCCAGCAAUGCCGCGUGAGUGAUGAAGGCCUUAGGGUUGUAAAGCUCUUUUACCCGGGAUGAUAAUGACAGUACCGGGAGAAUAAGCUCCGGCUAACUCCGUG
rnacentral:rRNA from 1 species